rnacentral:rRNA from 1 species
GGGCAGCACGAUGUAGCAAUACAUUGGUGGCGACCGGCGCACGGGUGAGUAACGCGUAUGCAACCUACCUAUCAGAGGGGAAUAACCCGGCGAAAGUCGGACUAAUACCGCAUAAAACAGGGGUUCCACAUGGAAAUAUUUGUUAAAGAAUUAUCGCUGAUAGAUGGGCAUGCGUUCCAUUAGAUAGUUGGUGAGGUAACGGCUCACCAAGUCCACGAUGGAUAGGGGUUCUGAGAGGAAGGUCCCCCACACUGGUACUGAGACACGGACCAGACUCCUACGGGAGGCAGCAGUGAGGAAUAUUGGUCAAUGGGCGAGAGCCUGAACCAGCCAAGUCGCGUGAAGGAUGAAGGAUCUAUGGUUUGUAAACUUCUUUUAUAUGGGAAUAAAGUGAGGAACGUGUUCCUUUUUGUAUGUACCAUAUGAAUAAGCAUCGGCUAACUCCGUGCCAGCAGCCGCGGUAAUACGGAGGAUGCGAGCGUUAUCCGGAUUUAUUGGGUUUAAAGGGUGCGUAGGUGGUUAAUUAAGUCAGCGGUGAAAGUUUGUGGCUCAACCAUAAAAUUGCCGUUGAAACUGGUUGACUUGAGUAUAUUUGAGGUAGGCGGAAUGCGUGGUGUAGCGGUGAAAUGCAUAGAUAUCACGCAGAACUCCGAUUGCGAAGGCAGCUUACUAAACUAUAACUGACACUGAAGCACGAAAGCGUGGGGAUCAAACAGGAUUAGA